AAGACCUUGUGCUUUUGGAGCGGCCGAUGCCUGAUUAGCUAGUUGGUAGGGUAAAGGCCUACCAAGGCUACGAUCAGUAGUUGGUCUGAGAGGACGACCAGCCACACUGGGACUGAGACACGGCCCAGACUCCUACGGGAGGCAGCAGUGGGGAAUUUUGGAUAAUGGGCGAAAGCCUGAUCCAGCAAUGCCGCGUGAGUGAAGAAGGCCUUCGGGUUGUAAAGCUCUUUCAGUCGAGAAGAAAAAGUUGUGACUAAUAAUCACAAUUUAUGACGGUACCGACAGAAGAAGCACCGGCUAACUACGUGCCAGCAGCCGCGGUAAUACGUAGGGUGCAAGCGUUAAUCGGAAUUACUGGGCGUAAAGGGUGCGCAGGCGGCUCUGUAAGUCAGAUGUGAAAUCCCCGGGCUUAACCUGGGAAUU
rnacentral:rRNA from 1 species